UCAAAUCAGAAAAUGCAGAACACUGGACUGGUAUUUGAUGGUACCUCGGAACCAGUAGCUGCACUGGUCUGGAGGAGGGGCCAUCUGGUCUGUCAGUGUCAAUCUUGCUCCUGCACUUACCAGGCAUGGAGGGGCAUGGUUUGGUGUAGGCAGGUCCUGCCUCCACUGUGUGCCUGCUGUCCUGUUCCCUGAAACCCCACCUUUUUGGUUAUGGGGAGUAAACUGGCAACACCCCAGUCUCUUCUCCCUGGAAUGGGUGUCCCAGACCACUCUGUUCAGUCUGUGCUUAUGUUGUCAUGUGGGCAUGAGUGGGCCAGUUUGUCCUGCUCCACAGUGUCCUGUGCUUCCCAGGUGCUUGGCUGAGAUUCAUACCCAGUGUCUUAAAGGAUCCUGCUUCACACACCUCAGUUUUGGAGUAGUGCCACUCCACCCAGACAGUAGACAAAGGGCCUCUGGAUGGCAGGCACCUGCAUGGUCUUUUGUCCUUGGAACAGAUAUAUACCUCUUCCCACAGCACUCAAGGGGAUCCCUCCUCUUUGAGCCUAUGCUGCCCAUUUUCGCUCUCCCAACUUAUAUUCAUGCACCUAUGGUCCACCAAGGUCUCCCUGUUGGCCCCGGAAGAUGUUUCUGUCUCUCUGUAGCCUGGAUUCCUGGAAUUCGAAGUCUUCUGGCCUCAAUACUGCUGUGUUUGAGGGACGAAGGUACUUUGGGUUCCCCUACUACUCUGCCAUGUUGACUCCCUCGCCCCAAAUUCUUAAUGCUAAUAGAGUAGUCAAUAUUUAUUGUCUCAAUUUCUCACUUCGACCAAUCUCCUAUAAUCUAGUUCCACCUCUGUAAUUUUACUCAAAUUAUUUUUUCCAAAGACUGCUAAUAGCCAAAUUGACAUAUAUUUUAUUCAUCCCACUUAUGUCUUAAGAUUUUUGUUAAGGUUUAACACACCCUAAGGGUGUGUUUAAUAACCCUUUGUAUUAAUGACAAAAAUACAAGGUCAUUAUAUAAUUCCUUUGCACUGUUUCCUUUAAUCUGCCUGAUUUUGAACUUAACAGAAGAUUGUCCCUACGGCUUCUCUUUUCAUUUCAUAUAGUGUCUUUGGUAUAUACCAUACUAUACCAAAUCACUCUAGUCACAUGAUUUCAUGUGGCUGACAUUGAAGCUGUAUCUCUCUCUCUCUCUCUCUUUUUUUUUUUUUUUUAGUUUAUUUAUUUUGAGAGAGAAAGAGACCGCAUGGAGGGAGUGGAAGCAGAAAGAGAGAGAAUCCAAGCAGGCUCUGCACUGACAGUGGGGCUCAAACCCAUUAUCUGUGAGAUCAUGACCUGAGCCAAAACCAAAAGCUGGAUGCUUAUCCGACUGAGCUACCCAGGCGCCCCAUGAAAGUUUUUUUUUUA
rnacentral:lncRNA from 1 species